rnacentral:rRNA from 1 species
UACAGAGGUCCCAAGCGUUGUUCGGAUUCACUGGGCGUAAAGGGUGCGUAGGUGGCGAGGUAAGUUUGAUGUGAAAUCUCCGGACUUAACCCGGAAAUGGCAUUGAAUACUAUCUUGCUUGAGGGUUGGAGGGGGGACUGGAAUUCUCGGUGUAGCAGUGAAAUGCGUAGAUAUCGAGAGGAACACCAGUGGCGAAGGCGAGUCCCUGGACAACUCCUGACACUGAGGCACGAAAGCUAGGGGAGCAAACAGG